GUCCGCAUGAGCUCAGUUUGUAAAGCAUUGAGACUCUUAAUCUCAGGGUUCUGGGUUCGAGUCCCACAUGGGGCA